rnacentral:lncRNA from 1 species
AUUCCUGUCGGCCAUUUUGACUUCUGAAUCAACGGCCACUCUGUUUUCAUCUGAGACUCUUCUCUAAUAUCACUGCAGACAAAUGUACAUCUUGAAUGACCUGAGGGUAAUCGGCCAGUUGUCCUCCGAUUGGCACAAUGAUGGUCAUCACUAAAUGAGGAAGAGCAGACACCAUCCCCACCUGAGCAGCAGACGGAGCAAAAAGAGAGGUUUUUGAACAAAUCAGGUUUACGAUAUCGCCUAAUAUACACAUCCUGCUGAACAGCCGAACACCUCCUCGAAAUAAGCGGGCUGGCUGAUGAGGAGCAGGUAGAAGGUCCAGCUUCUGCAGAAGUUGGCUACGAUGAUGGCAUACACUGGCAUGGAGGGGGUUGACCAGGCCAGCGCUUUCCCCGAUGGCGUCCUCAAUGUACUUCCUCUCCUCUGGUGUAAUUGUCGGGUGAGCAGCUGGACUCUCAUAGGACACUAAAAUCCAGAAGAGAUACCAGAAGAUCCCAACACUUCCUGCGAGUCAAAGAGAAAUGGAAUGCUGUUGUUGCCAGUCGGCUUCUUUCAAGCGGUGGAGCCCAUUUGGCCCAGAUCCCAUGACACGCUGGGUACGACACCCCCUUGAAGCGGACAAAUGAGAUGAAUUAAUGUGCACCCAUA